UACGUAGGGAGCAAGCGUUGUCCGGAAUCAUUGGGCGUAAAGCGCGCGUAGGCGGCCCCGUAAGUCCGCUGUGAAAGUCAAAGGCUCAACCUUUGAAAGCCGGUGGAUACUGUGGGGCUAGAGUACGGAAGAGGCGAGUGGAAUUCCUGGUGUAGCGGUGGAAUGCGCAGAUAUCAGGAGGAACACCCGUGGCGAAAGCGGCUCUCUGGGACGGUACUGACGCUGAGACGCGAAAGCGUGGGGAGCAAACAGG
rnacentral:rRNA from 1 species